GUCAGGAUAGCUCAGUUGGUAGAGCAGAGGACUGAAAAUCCUCGUGU
rnacentral:tRNA from 1 species